rnacentral:rRNA from 1 species
GUGGGGAAUCUUGCGCAAUGGGCGAAAGCCUGACGCAGCCAUGCCGCGUGAAUGAUGAAGGUCUUAGGAUUGUAAAAUUCUUUCACCGGGGACGAUAAUGACGGUACCCGGAGAAGAAGCUCCGGCUAACUUCGUGCCAGCAGCCGCGGUAAUACGAAGGGGGCUAGCGUUGCUCGGAAUUACUGGGCGUAAAGGGCGCGUAGGCGGACAGCUUAGUCAGAGGUGAAAGCCCAGGGCUCAACCUUGGAAUUGCCUUUGAUACUCGCUGUCUUGAGUUUGGGAGAGGUGAGUGGAACUCCGAGUGUAGAGGUGAAAUUCGUAGAUAUUCGGAAGAACACCAGUGGCGAAGGCGACUCACUGGCCCAAUACUGACGCUGAGGCGCGAAAGCGUGGGGAGCAAACAGGAUUAGAUACCCUUGUAGUCC